UAGAUAGCUCCAUGUGUCAGCCUUACAUCCUAGUCUUGAUUUGCUCAGCUCGGUAUUACCGAUAAAAUUCCCCAUGGGUUCCAUGAUGAAACAGCUCAGUGUGCUGCUUUCCCACCUGUGGAACCACCUCUGUUCACGCUGAAACCUUCAUGCUAACAAGCAAAACAAGCUCACUUUCCCCAGAUAGGGUAUUUGUAAGCUGAACUAUUUUACCAGUAUUUCCCAGUGUUUCACCUAAGAUGGCAAUUUUAAUAGUUCCCUUGUCACAUGGGCCAUGGAACCACUGCAUGCAUCCAUGCAUGUGGACAUUAGUUUUAGGAAGCAGGAUUUUGCCAGCUCCAGAAAUUGAUAAAUGGGCUCUACACACCCAUAGUCGCUUUAGCUGAGUAUCUUUUUCUACCUGUUAGAGAACAAGAUAGCUUGAGAAUCCCAAAUAUUGCGCUUCUACCAGUUUUCUUGGCGAACAGAGCUCUCCAUCUCUCCAAUACAGUACCAAGAAAGACUUUCUGAUUGCAGAGUAGGAUGAGCUCUGUGGGACUGCAGUGUUUGACAUUCUGGUAUAUAAUACUAAUUUAUUUCUAGGUCUUCAUAUAAAGAAGGGACCUUCCUAAAUGAAACCCUUCUUGUCCUCCCCAAAUCAUACUGAUGGGCAGUUGAGAAGAUGGUGAAGAUGGGUGACAUUUUACGAAUGGGAAAGUUUAGAGCCUGAUGAAGAACAGCAUUAGUGGAAGAGAUGCCUGGAACUUGCGGCAUGGUUAUAAAGCAUCAACAGUGAAGCCUUAAAUCAAGCGACAACGAAAGCUGUGUAUUUCCAGAAGCACACUUGCUAGCUUCUCUCCACAUCAGUGUCACUUCGUUAAAUCACUGCAAAACACUUCAAAGUAUCAUGGGCUCCCAAUCCUUGGACCUGCUUCUCCUGCUUUCCCAGGCCGUGACAAGGGAGCUGGAUCGGACGUGGAGGAUCAGGGAGGUGAGACCAUCUUGGCCACACCUUCAGGUUGGCAGCAUCAGUAUUGCCCACCCAUUUCCUAACUGAUUAAGAGACCACCAGUGGGGAACAUCUUACUUGGUUUCUGCCCAGAUAAGGAGGGGUCAGGGAAUGGUUAAAAUCCCAUUACCCUUCCUCAAACCUUUGGCGUCUCUACCUCUCUCCUUUAAGAGGCACCCCACUACCUGGCUUUCUCUCUGGAGGUGCUUUCCCUUCCUUCUCCCUUCCCUGCUCACCUGGUCCCUUCACAAAUAAGCUUUUUAUUUCUAUAAUAAGCUGAGGAUAGAACCCACUGGGCUUUUUUGGUAAGCCCAUACCCAUAUGGGAUACUGGUAUCACAGACUCUACAUGUUGCAGCAUACACUUACUUUUUUUUUUUGUUCUCUCACUGUGAGCUUACCAUUACAGCCCUGGUCUCCUAGUCUGUACCAAAAUCCACCCUUCUGUCCUUCCUGCUUCUAUUCUUGCUUCACUACAGACCAGUGCACACACAGCCUAAGGUGUAGUUGUCUGAGGGUUUCAAUCACACAGCUCCUCAGCACCAACUUCUUAAGUGAAUUCCCUCUCUCAUUACUCAUCAGCUCAAACCCAGGCUCUUAGAGAGUCACACAUCUCUUCAGUGCCAUUUCCUGCCACUGCUCAGCUCUCACAGUGACCUUGUUCCUCCUGGAGGGUUUUGCGUUUUCUGAUCUCUUUCUGUUGGCAUGCUCUCCCGUCCCCCUCCAUUCACAUUUUCUUGUGGCUAUGUUCUUUUCAUUUUCUGCUGAAAUGUCAUCUCCUCACUUCUAGUGUAGCACUACUUUAUUUUCUGUGGAGCACAUAUAUCAGAAACUCUAUUACUGACGUAGCUGUCCAUAGUCUGUUUCUUCUUAAGCAAAAGCAAGCAGGCUUUUCAUAUUUAUAUUCAUGUCAUUCAACUUCCUCAUACUGAGUGAGAAGAAACUCAGGCCCAUCCAACCUGAGACAGUACAGCAGGAUUCUCCAGGAUCCAUUUCCCCACACCCACGUCUUUAUGGCUGUCUAAUCCAUUGAUUCCUCCUCACCUGAGAGCAUCCAAGCUCUCUAAACUCUUGACCAGACCUUCAAGUGGAUGGCACAAGAAUUGCCCAGCCAUUUCCUAACAGGUUGAGACACCGCCAGUGGGGGACAGGGGGAUGUGUGAACAUCUUACCCGUAGGUUUCCGCCCAGACAAGGAGGGGUCAGGGAAUGUUUAAAAUCCAAAGAGCCUUCCAGAAACCUUGGUAUCCCUUCCUCUCUCCUUUGAAGAGGAACCCCAUCUCCCGGUUCUCUCUUGCAAGUUGCUUUCUCCUUCCCUCUUCUUUCCACAGUCACCUGGUCACUUUGCAAAUAAAACUUCUCUGUCU